UUUAUGAGUUAUUGAUUAUGUAAUUGGAGUACUGAGUGAUUGAAUUAUAUGAGAAGUUAUUGAAAGAUUGAUUAUAGAUGGAAGAUUAUGAUUGUUGUUUAUUGAGAGUUGUGUGUGUGUUUUGACAGAGGAAGUCUAUGAUUACAAGAAUUUUGUGAAUUCAGAUUGGUUGGAGUGAAGUUUGUUAUUCCUGAUAUUGGAUGGAAUUUAUUGAGUGUUGAGUAGUCUUUUGAGAGUGCAAGGUUGUAUAUUGUGGUUAUCAGUUGAUGAAGGAGUAUUGUUACUGGGAGGAAGCAUUGUAGUAUUUCUUAUUGUUUUAGUAGUUUGAAAUACAGUUAAUUGUGUGAUCCUAAUAAGUAAAACUCAUGUGCUUAGUCUUUUCUUGUGUUCAAAUUCUCCUAUAUAGGUUUAUUCUGGGAGGUUUCUU
rnacentral:lncRNA from 1 species